rnacentral:ncRNA from 1 species
CCGCCUUGAGAAAGGAGAGAAGGUUAGCACUCCCCUUGAGAGGUAUAUGGUAUAUGGUUAAGGCAUUGACAGCUACUUCGUGGCAUCUAACCAAGUUUUUAU